rnacentral:rRNA from 1 species
UCCGACCUCAGAUUGGGAAAGAAUAA